CUAGUUAAAACUCAUUGAGCGUUUAUCCUUUUCUUUGGUAGCCAUAUAAGUAGCCUAAUUCCUUAUUUGAUAGACCAUAAUUUGAUCCAAAAGCUCCUCUGUGCUUUAAUUGAAAAAAAAAUUGAGAAAGGAGUUUGAGAAAUUGAAGAAGAAAAAGGUGAAAUUGACGCCCCAAGGUAAUUGUUAUUGGUGUUUAUAAUUGAUGUGUGGUGGAUGGUUGUGAUAUAAUUUAUGCUAAAAAUAUUGUCAUGGUUGUGAAAAAAGAAAAAAAAAAUUCUUGUGGUAGUAAACUGUGUCCACUAAGUGUUUGUGAAAAUGCUUAACAGAGAUGGGACAAAAACAAAAGGUAUGGGUGAAUGAAAAAGUGUAAUUUGGUUAUUGGAGAUUUUCUUUAAAUAUUUAAUGUAGUGUAUUAAAGAACUUACAGAGGUUAGUCACUAUUCCCAAAUAAUUCCUACCCGUCCCUUAGCCUACAUUACAACCUGGAAAAGACCUAAUUGAUCCUAAGUUCAUCAUUCGACUAUUAGUGGAGCAUUACACUAAGGGCAAGCCUAUGGUUCAUUAUGUGUGACUUGUGAAUUCUUUGUGAGAAUGAGCGUAAUUUGAUUCUUGUACCCAUUAUGUUAUAAAUUACAUUAUUGUGAGUGAUUGUGGGUGACUCUCUUGUUAUGAGGGCACAUGUUUGAUGAAUGAGGGUGAUUUAUAUGAUGUUCUUGAUUGAGCAAUAUGCAUGAGUUUUCCACUUAGGUGAGUCAAUUCUUGAGGUUAGGAUGUUUUAGAGUAGUGUUCAUGAGCUAUCAAUUGUGUAUAUAAUAUGCUUUGUGUAGAAACUUGUAUUUCGUGCAGUCAUUGUAGUACUAGCUUGAGUGUCUUACAUUUUGUAGAAGUGUAGCGUCACCUCAUAUUUUUAUGCUUAGAGUGAAGAGUUGUUCAAGGACGAACAAGGAUUUAAGUGUGGGGUGAUGAUUUGAGGCGAUUUCAUACACUUCGGUAUCAUUAUUCUAGCUUAUUUUAUCUUAUUUUAAGAGCAAUUUGUGUGUUUUAUGUGUUCAUAUUGAUAUAAAUAAAUAUUUAAGUGUCCAUCUUUUUAAAUGCAAAUUUCAGUUAGACGAUGCAAAUUCAACGCAUCGCGUCGAUUACCAACUCAUUGAGCAAUGCGCCGCAUUGAUAAUCCAUUCACAGAAUACUAGUUCUGCCGGCAAAAGGACAGGACAGUGUCCUAUUUUCUUUUGAAUUUGCAUGCGUAUCAAGGACAGUUAGUGGGGAAUUUGCAAUUCCAUUUUCCAAAUUGGAUUUGCAUUAUUAUUAUAAUAUCAACACAAUACAGUUGGACAACAUAAUUAUAUAUUUGGUCAACUUGGUGACAAUAGGGGACACGUUAUUGUAGACUACGCCUGGCACUAUUUUGGAGAAAAUACGGAGAGCUGCUACACGGUUUAUUAGUUUUUAAUUUUAUUUUUAGUCUUUAAAUUCUUAUAUCAUGUAUUCAAUUAUUUAGAUCGUGAUUAUGAAUAUUAGUGGCUAAAAACUCUUCUUUCGGGGUUAAAGUCAAGAACAUGAUUACUAUUAUUUUGGAUUAAUUUCGAUUAAUUUUACUUAUUAUUGUUGGUUGUUUGUUUUUUCUUGUUUUAAUCAUUUUAAGGAUUCACGACCCUUAAAAUACAUAUAUUGUCAAUCUUUUAAUCUUGGAAGAGAGAAUAGGGAG
rnacentral:lncRNA from 1 species